GCGACGUACCGCCAUGGUUCUCCCUUUCCCGAUUUUAUCCUUGCCACAACCCUGUGAGCUGGCUUAGGAUCUUUGUUAAAGUUCAGUGCAUUUUACAAGGUGAUCGUAUACUGUCAGAAGUCAGCACUAUGGAGUUCAGAGCAACUUCCAGUUUCUGGAGAUACACACGGCUGGCAAUUCCACUUAUUUCUACAGAACGGAAAGGGGGUAUUGAGGAGCUGCUACUGCUUGCUUCUUUUGUAAUGAAUGGCAGAAAAGCUGAGAGUUUAAAGGGGAGCACCCCCCUUCUUACAGAACCAACUUUUCCUGGGGUGGCGCGACAGCUUUGUGACUCUGCGUAUUUGCGCACACCCGUCCUUGUACCUUUCAUCCCCCCCCCCAUGUCUCAUAAAUCGAAUACCAUGCAAGAAUGCGAGCUGGGACCUCUGGCUCCACUGCAAGGUUCCUGACCCCCAAGCUUUUCUAGAGUGCAGCGCUCUGUGGCGGCUCCAAGCUCCUCCCCAUUCUCUCUCUUGCUCUCGCUCUGCCUGCCUCUCGCUCUCCACAUAGGCAGCGGCGGCAUCAGCGUCAGGGAACAGCCACCGAGAGAGGCUUCCCAGCAGCUUCCCAACCAAUUUGGGGCAAAACUUGAUGCUCCGUUGCCUUCACACACACCCUCCUUCUUCCUUUCCUUCCCGUGGCCGUUUGCAAAGCGCCAGCAAAGCGAGCUCCCUGCACCAACCACCAACAUGAGCGAGACCAGCCAGGAAAAGGGGGGCUUUACAAACAGCCACAAUUGCAGAUC